AAGCCUUUUAUCUCUGAUAGUUAUUAAUGCUGAGGUCUGGCUAAACCAGAGGAUCAUAUGGACAUCAGCUGAGAGUGAGGAACAUCCUGCCAAGAUGCUGUUGAGUCUGUUAUUCAUCUUACUGAUUGGAAGGCUGUAUGUAACACCACUGACAUAUGAUGUCUGCAACGCACAGAACAUAAACCUGACAGAGAAGAAGGCAUCUCAGUCUUCAACCUUCACUAAUGAUAAUCACAUACCAUACAUCGCUGACAGAGCCUUUGAU